GUGUGUGUGUGUGUGUACGAGCAGAGGAGAAGAAAGGAAGGGGGAGCCCUUCUCAAACCCUAAGCAACGAAUUGGAAGGAUUCUGGCCGAAAUCGAACCUGCAUGAACCUUAAUAGUGAUAAUCUAAGCAAGAUGUAACCAAGGAAACCAUGUUUAUGAGAACGUGUCAAGGAGAGCUCAAGCAUAGGAGGAUAACGGGUCAAGAUAAGGCAAGGUGACAAAUACACUUAUUGGAGUACUCAAGGUAAUGCAGGAAUGAGAACGACGGAUUCUCGUGGAAUGGAAGCUGAACUCGGAACGAGAGAAUCCGAGAGAAUAGUCGGAUAAAUCAAAGUUUACGUUGUCGAAUGUUAUACUAUUUAAUUAUAUGU
rnacentral:lncRNA from 1 species